ACACCGGCAGCUCAAGUGGUAGCCGCUUUUAUUGGGCCUAAAGCGUCCGUAGCCGGUCUGAUAAGUCUCUGGUGAAAUCCCGCAGCUUAACUGUGGGAAUUGCUGGAGAUACUAUCAUGACUCGAGGUCGGGAGAGGCUGGAGGUACUCCCAGGGUAGGGGUGGAAUCCUGUAAUCCUGGGAGGACCACCUGUGGCGAAGGCGUCCAGCUGGAACGAACCUGACGGUGAGGGACGAAAGCCAGGGGCGCGAACCGGAUUAGAUACCCGGGUAGUCCUGGCCGUAAACGAUGUGGACUUGGUGUUGGGAUGGCUUCGAGCUGCCCCAGUGCCGAAGGGAAGCUGUUAAGUCCACCGCCUGGGAAGUACGGCCGCAAGGCUGAAACUUAAAUGAAUUGGCGGGG
rnacentral:rRNA from 1 species